rnacentral:rRNA from 1 species
CGUAGGUGGCAAGCGUUGUCCGGAUUUUACUGGGCGUAAAGGGAGCGUAGGUGGAUAUUUAAGUGGGAUGUGAAAUACUCGGGCUUAACCUGAGUGCUGCAUUCCAAACUGGAUAUCUAGAGUGCAGGAGAGGAAAGUAGAAUUCCUAGUGUAGCGGUGAAAUGCGUAGAGAUUAGGAAGAAUACCAGUGGCGAAGGCGACUUUCUGGACUGUAACUGACACUGAGGCUCGAAAGCGUGGGAGCAAACAGGAUU